rnacentral:rRNA from 1 species
UACGUAGGUGGCGAGCGUUGUCCGGAUUUACUGGGCGUAAAGAGCGCGCAGGCGGUCGUAUAAGUCGAAUGUGAAAGCCCCCGGCUCAACUGGGGAGGGUCAUUCGAUACUGUUCGACUCGAAGGCAGGAGAGGGAAGCGGAAUUCCCGGUGUAGUGGUGAAAUGCGUAGAUAUCGGGAGGAACACCAGUGGCGAAGGCGGCUUUCUGGCCUGCUCUUGACGCUGAGGCGCGAAAGCUAGGGGAGCGAACGGG